rnacentral:rRNA from 2 species
AGAGUUUGAUCCUGGCUCAGGAUGAACGCUGACAGAAUGCUUAACACAUGCAAGUCUACUUGAUCCUUCGGGUGAUGGUGGCGGACGGGUGAGUAACGCGUAAAGAACUUGCCCUGCAGUCUGGGACAACAUUUGGAAACGAAUGCUAAUACCGGAUAUUAUGUGAGUUUCGCAUGAAAUUCAUAUGAAAGCUAUAUGCGCUGCAGGAGAGCUUUGCGUCCUAUUAGCUAGUUGGUGAGGUAACGGCUCACCAAGGCGAUGAUAGGUAGCCGGCCUGAGAGGGUGAACGGCCACAAGGGGACUGAGACACGGCCCUUACUCCUACGGGAGGCAGCAGUGGGGAAUAUUGGACAAUGGACCAAAAGUCUGAUCCAGCAAUUCUGUGUGCACGAUGAAGUUUUUCGGAAUGUAAAGUGCUUUCAGUUGGGACGAAGUAAGUGACGGUACCAACAGAAGAAGCGACGGCUAAAUACGUGCCAGCAGCCGCGGUAAUACGUAUGUCGCAAGCGUUAUCCGGAUUUAUUGGGCGUAAAGCGCGUCUAGGCGGUUUGGUAAGUCUGAUGUGAAAAUGCGGGGCUCAACUCCGUAUUGCGUUGGAAACUGCCAAACUAGAGUACUGGAGAGGUGGGCGGAACUACAAGUGUAGAGGUGAAAUUCGUAGAUAUUUGUAGGAAUGCCGAUGGGGAAGCCAGCCCACUGGACAGAUACUGACGCUAAAGCGCGAAAGCGUGGGUAGCAAACAGGAUUAGAUACCCUGGUAGUCCACGCCGUAAACGAUGAUUACUAGGUGUUGGUGGGUACGACCCAUCGGUGCCGCAGCAAACGCAAUAAGUAAUCCACCUGGGGAGUACGUUCGCAAGAAUGAAACUCAAAGGAAUUGACGGGGACCC